rnacentral:lncRNA from 10 species
UUUCAUUUCAUUUCACUUCAUUUCUUUUCUUUCUUCCAAUAUAUCUUCUGCCAAACUCUGAGACAGGCUUUGGUGAUACAUCAAUGAUCAGAGAAAAAAUCCUGCUCUCAAGUUGCUCACUGUCUAGAUGGGGAGGCAGACAGAUAAACAGAGUGCUACAAAAUGAUGUGCACAAAGAAGAGGUCACAGGAGCACACAGCAAGAAGGCAGCCAUCUGCAACCCUGUGGAGGAGACCUCCCCAGACAUUAACCAUGCUGGCACCUUGAUCUUGGACUUCUAGUCUCUGGGACUGUGAGAAAAUACAUUUCGGUUGUCUCAGCCACUCAGUCUGAAGAAUUUUGUUAUGUCAGCUCGAGCAGAUUGAUGCGGCUAUUGAGAUACAGCGGUUUCUAUUCUGUUUAUGUUUCCUUGUUUUGUUUCUGUUGUUGUUGUUGUUGUUUUGUCCUGGGCAUGUAGACCAAAGCCAAUAGGCAAGGUCACUUCAUUACUAGGAACCAAGUCUAAUCAUUGCACUAGAAAAUACUUAACUUUAUGCAUCCAGCUUUUUAGAAAAUUGUAUUUCAACUCAUUACAGGAUUUUCAUAGUGUAUCACAAGAUUUAUGUUGAGAGGAAAAGAGCCCUAAAGUUUCAAGAUAAUUGAAUUCUGGAAAAUGAGAAAAGUAGUCAAUUUUUAUAAAUUAGUAGGUAGCAUCUAUUUUUUCUUUUUUUGGUACUAAAAUUAUUGCAUUUUUAUUUUUACCUUAUUUUGUACCAAGAUGGGUCUAAAUGUCAUGGUGACUCAUUUCAAAACUUGCAUUUUCAUUUGUGAUUAAUCCCACCUACACUGAAAAGUUUUUGCUUGAUUUUUCUACUGAGGUGUGGGUUCCAAGCCUCGGUAUCCUAUGGAUGUACAAUUGUCCAAUGUAAGUUGUCAACUGUUAUAUUUGGGAGUGAAAGUAGAAACUACAGGGAUCAAAAAUGAGUUGGCAAGUUUUCUUUUCCUGAAGGAUGAAUCACUGGAGAAGUGCCAGUGAAUAGAAAAAAAAAAUUUCACCAAAAGAAAUAAUAACCAACAAGCCAUGUUCUACUGUCUUAAAACAAAGAAAAGCCAUUUAUCUCAGGGCACAUAUUGAUGCUGAAAAUGAUUCAACUUCACCACAUCAUAAGCGGAACCGUCAGAAGCAUAUUCCUGGAAACCAAAGCCUCUUGGGAGAAAGUUCAAGAAGCUGAAAAGAGCCAUGCAGUUCAAUUAUCCUGAUUCUUCAGUUUCCAUCUGUAUGAAACAGGCCACGCAGCAGAGACAUAGACACAUCAGAAUUCCCAUCUGCACUGCAAUAAACACUACUUAGGAGAAUCAGUCUCAGCUGGACCAAACCUCUCAGUCCCACUCGAUGUCAUCUGUGCCAAGCCAAGACUCUAUUCAAAAUACUUGGAAUACCUCAGUGAACAAAAGAUCCAUGAUUUCAUGGGCCUGCCUCUACCUAAGGGAGGCAGGUUUCCAAGAACAAAUGGAUGAAAAAACAACAACAACAACAACAAAAACUGCCAUGAAUUCCACAGACACAAAGAAAUGAAUUCUGCAAGCAAUUCAAGGGCAAUCUAUAACCUCACUGACUUGAGAUCCUGAGGAGGACCCAGUCCUGGCUGCCACCUGGAUUGCCCUGUGAUAUCCUCAACAGAGAACCCAUCCAACCUGUGUCAGGGCUCCUGACCCACAGAAGCUGUGAGAAAAUAAAUGAGUGUUUUUUUUUUUAAGGUUCCAAGUCCUUGGUAAUUAGUUAUGCAACAUAGACAGCUAAUACACUACUUUAUUCUCUGAUUCUAGACCACUGUCAAGAUAUAAAACAUCCUACAAAUUGCUUGGAACUACUAAACCACGAAUAGUUAUUGUGGCUUUUAUACUCAGAGCAGCUGGUUUUAGGAAACCGGUAACUACCAGGGGAACACAUUCUACCCUAUAUACACAAAAAACAUAUGUGAGAUGUUACCAUAAUGUUUCUUUUCUUACUGAUGUGUAAUAUCCAUAUCUGCUUAAUAGCCAGGGGCAGUAAAUGGACACAUCUUGUAAAAAGGUUUCAAGGGGAAAUAAAUUAAAAGCGCAAUAUAAGCAUUAGGCACAAAUUUCCUUUAUAUGGCAUUGCAUUAUUGCAGUAUCUGUCCAUGUGUCUGUCAUGGGUUAAAUCAAAACAUUAAUAUAAACAUUUUCUGCAAAAUCCUGGAUAACUAAGAAGGAAGGGAACAGUUACAUAAAAUGCUAAAGGGGCUCAUAGUAACAGGCAUGACUUUACGGCUUUACGAAUUUUUUCUAAGCUUUAUUUAUUUAUUCUCUUAUUUUGUGCUAUUUUCAAGUCUGUUUUCUCCCUUCCCCCGUCACCGUUUCACAGAUAAGUAGCUGAACAGCACCUAAAGGCAAUUGUGAUAUGGUGGCCUCACCAUGAAAUUGUCAUUUUCCAAGUUUUCCUACAAUGCUUUGCGCUUAGCAACUUAAAUCUAGCUCCUUCUUUUUAGAAACAUUUUCCUUCAUGUCGUGUACCCUCCCCAAGUGGAUUACUUAUAUUCCCCUAAAGAGUUUUCCAGGCUACUGUAUUUAGAGUCACUGAUAUUUUAUUUUCUCACUCAGAAAUACAAUUCAGUUUCAUUGAGGCCACACUUUACAUCUGUAAAAACAUCUUGACCACAUGUAAUCUAACAAUGUUGUUAGCUGCUUUUAUUUUGCAUUGCUUAAAGAUGAGUUUUGAAAAGAAUAGCUUUCUAAUAUGGUUAUGUGGUAAGCAGAAUAAUGCCCCUUCCCAAAGAUAUCUACCUCUUAAUCCCUAGAACCUGUAAAUAUGUACUUUACACACAGUAAAAGGGACUUUGCACAUGUGAUUAAGUGUCUUGAGAUGGGGAGAUUAUCCUAGAUUAUCUGAGUAUGCCCAAUGUAUUCACAAGGGCUCUUAUAAUAAAGAAACUCCUAGAUAGAAGAUGGAAGCAGAUUGAGCCAGAGAGAUCAAGGCUGCAGUGAGCCGCGAUCGCACCACUGCACUGAAGCCUAGCCAACAGCACGAGAAACUGUCUCAAAACAAAAACAAAAACAAAACAGAGAAUAAAAGAAAACUGAAGCAGACACUAGAAAGCAGGUAAAAUUCUAUGCAGCUGGCUGUGAACAUAGAGAAGAGGGAGUUAGGAGCUAAGAAAUGUAGGCAUCCUCUAGAAGCCAAAAUGGAAAAGAGAAAAGUUCCCUCCCAGAGCCUCCAAAAGCAACACAACCCUCCGGACCCAUUUUAGACUUUUCACCUCCAGGACUGUAAAAGAAUAAAUGCAUGUUGUUUUGAGCUAAAUUUGUGAUAAUCACAGCAAUAGGAAAGUAAUACAAUUUAUAACAAAAUGAUAAAAUUAGUUUAGAAGGUUCAGAAAUUAAAGGACUUACGGACUUCCAUAAUCUGAAAGAUUCAAAGUGACUAAGUAUCUCUCUUUGAUAUGUGAAAAGGUUAAUAACUUUUGUCUUUGUAUAGUUAAUAACAUGUUUUUUUCUUAGAGUAAAAGCAUCUCAUUUAUGGGUUGGCCUAGCCCAUACUGGGGAUGUGUGCUAUUUCCUCACCAAUUUAAGGCCUACAGCCCUUCGCCAAGGACAGGUUUUUAAAAAUAUUUUAAGCAAUAAUGAAAUCAAGAGAUGAUCUGGAUCUGGAUAAGAAGAACAUUAAAGAUUUUGCCAGAAGCCUGGACCAAACUUGUGGGGACUGUCAUUUUGUAUUUGUGUGGAGACUUCUCUGCUCUACGAAUUUCCUUCUACAGGGAAGAAUGUCUAGACCCACGGGCACAUCUAGUCAAAACUCUGUUACCUGAUUGAGCACAUGGAGGAACAUGAAUCCUUCUUGACUUAUGGCAACAGCAAAUGCAACAACAAAAUUCAAAAUUAGAGCUCUAACCGGAGAAGGCCAUUUAAUAGAAAGUUUACAGAUAUUGCAUAAGUAGAUACACAUCUUAUUUAGGUAAGAGCUUGAUGAUGUUGUGCUUCGCUUAAUAGACCCUUGCAGACGGUAGUCUCUAAAUCCCAUCUGGUUCUCAUGAUAAAGAAAAUUAAACUGUAGGUGGGAGUCAAGGAAGAGAGCCUCAGAAUUUUUCUUUAACAACUUGAUUUUCCUCUACAACAAUUUGAGAAAAUAUGUGAAUUAAUUCUUCCUUGGAUCGACAUCUUGAAAGUUCCCUAUCAGAGCUGAAACCUUCCUUCCUGUGACUCAGAACCUAGGCUUACCAUAUUAAGGACACAUGCCUUUGGCAGCAUGACCAUAAUAAUUCACAAAUAUAAGAAUCCUUGUGUUUAUGGUAUCAGCAUAUAGGUGCCCUUAAUGCCUCUCUCACUCCAAUUUUGAAUUAAUAGUUUUCUUCUGUGUACCAUAAUAAAAGUGGAG